rnacentral:rRNA from 1 species
GACGAACGCUGGCGGCGUGCUUAACACAUGCAAGUCGAACGAAGUGGCGAACGGGUGAGUAACGCGUAAUAAACCUGCCCUUCAGAGGGGGACAACAGGUGGCAACGACUGCUAAUACCGCAUACUGAAGGAGGGGAGUGCGUCUGAGUAGCUAGGUGGAGGGGUAACGGCCCACCAAGGCGAUGAUCAGUAGCCGGUCUGGGAGGAGGAGCGGCCACAUUGGGACUGAGACACGGCCCAGACUCCUACUGGAGGCAGCAGUGGGGAAUCUUCCGCAAUGGACUAAAGUCUGACGGAGCAACGCCGCGUGAGUGAUGACGGCCUUCGGGUUGUAAAGCUCUGUUAAUCGGGACGCGGUACCGGAAUAGAAAGCCACGGCUAACUACGUGCCAGCAGCCGCGGUAAUUC